rnacentral:tRNA from 1 species
UCUCUGGGGGUCCAGUGGUUAGGACUCUGCCCUGUCGUUGCUGAGGGCCUGGGUUCAAUCCCUGGUCAGGGAA